GUAGUUAUCGUAUAAUGGUUAAUACAUUUGUAUGUGGAUCAAAGAAUUUCAGUUCAAUUCUGAAUAAUUACC